CGCGUGGGUAACCUGCCUCAUACAGGGGGAUAGCAGCUGGAAACGGCUGGUAAUACCGCAUAAGCGCACAGUACCACAUGGUACAGUGUGAAAAACUCCGGUGGUAUGAGAUGGACCCGCGUCUGAUUAGCUUGUUGGCGGGGUAACGGCCCACCAAGGCGACGAUCAGUAGCCGACCUGAGAGGGUGACCGGCCACAUUGGGACUGAGACACGGCCCAG
rnacentral:rRNA from 1 species